CUACAAUGUGAAUUGAUUUCUUCUUGCAUACCUUUGAGAUUCUUUUAUUUUUUCUGCCAAAUAUGUAUUGAUACUGCAAUUGGUUAGUAAAAGGGAAGGAAAGCAUCCAUAUUGACAAAAAAUCUUCACUCACUUUGUCAUUUCUUUUGUGGUGAGAGUGAUGAGGAACAAAGACACCGGAAACUUUCAUCCCCGGCCCAUAAAAAAUUCCACUUAGAAUUACUCCUAUUGAAGGGGUUAACUUUUGAGACAAGUUGAGUAUGAUGCUUUUAGUAAGGAAUUUGCAGAAGCCUUUUUAUUUCCUCUUAAUUUUUCAAUAAAGCUAGGGUCACAACAAUUUCAUAACACCCUCCACUUUGCCUACCACCUCACAUGUGGGCCAUUGAAAUAAUGUGGUGGGAAGCUCUUUUCCAGUCAACUCUUCUUGAUUUCAGAUGCAAAAUUCCAUUGCCUUAACUGCUUGUCAAAUGGGCUUGGAGAUUUGUGACGCAAACACAACUAGAGCUGGCCUGGGCUAGACAUAUAAAAGUUAAGUCUCUUCUGCAUGGGCAGUUCUUCACAUUUAUUAGCAUUCUUUGCCUCUAGGUUCAUCCAUUUUUAACCCUUGGGUUGCUACUAGACAUCUCCUAAGGCAGGGGAUUAGUGUUGUAGUUUGUAAUGGUUAGGCGCAUUUUAUACUGAUUUUUGGGCCUAUCCCUGGGCCUACGAACAGCCUUGAUCAAGUGUCUAGGUUUAAAUUGCAGACUAUGGUGGGCCCAGGUGUUAGGUUGUAGGCAAAUUGGGGGGUUUUGUGAAUUUUUGUUAUGAUCCUAGCUUUAUUGUAAUUUUUUUGGGACCUGUCCACUUUCCUUGCAUAAACAGAGGGUUAUUCAAAAUUUUCCUUUGUUUCAUGUAUCCUUUUAUUCAUGGUGUUCCAAGUCUUUUGAUGUCUAGGGCUUGAAGUGACCUUUGUAUGGGAGAGGUAUCUGGCCAUGUGCCAACUCAUGAUCUUAAUGUAUGGUUGUUCCCCUCUUCAAAGGAAAGAAGAAGGUUUACAUAUUACUUAGUGUAGAUAGAUCUUGCCAAAAUCACUACUGCACUAGGUCUGUAUUGAAAGAGCAAGAAAAAUGCAACCUUAAACUCCAAAUUUUAAAAUAUCAAGGAAUUCCAAGAAAAUAGCUAAAUUUAGCAAAGGAAUAUGAUAACCAGGGGACUUUUGACUUGAAAAACUUAUCUUAAUGUCACAAAUGGAGAACUUGGCGUAGGACAUAGAAAUGUAUUUAUAUGGCUUGUGUGGGCAUAGGGUUAGGAUCAUUUGCGAAAACUCUUGUUCAUUCCACAAACCCUAACCCAGCAAGGAGUAGAGUUUUUGAGGUUAGAGGUUUUUUUAUCUUUCUUUCUACCCUUCUACCCUUUCUUUCCACCCUUCUACCCUUUCUUUCCCUUGGAGGUUGGUGUGGCAAUUGAAUGUUCCUCCAAGGGUGGCUUUCUUUUCAUGGUCAACUUCUUUAGGUAAGAUUCCUACAAUUGAUAACCUUCGCAAAAGGCAUAUUAUUGUUCUUGAUUGGUGUUACAUGUGUAGGAGGUGUGGGGAGUCGGUGGAUCAUAUUUUGCUUCAUUGCCCCAUAGCUUUUGAGAUGUGGUCUUUGGUGUUUUGUUUGUUUGGACUUCAGUGGGUUAUGCCUCAUAAGGUAAUUGAGUUGUUUGAGUCUUGGCAAGGUAAAUUCGGGCGACAUUGCAAUAUAGAUUUUUGGAGACUUGUGCUGCAUUGCUUGAUGUGGUGUAUUUGGAGUGAAAGAAAUGCUAGAUGCUUUGAGGGAUGCGAACAGUCCUUGCUAGAGAUUAAGUUCUUUUUCUUACAUACUCUCCUUGCUUGGAGUGUGGCUCUGUCGCAUUUUUCUUGUUUUCUUGAUUAUUGUAAUUUUGGUUCUUGAUUUUUGCCCCCACAGUACAUCCCCAAUGUGCUUGGGUUGGCUAUUUUUUCUUAAUAAAGUUUUUUGUUACCUAUCCAAAAAACAAAAUUACAAGAAGGGUUAGGGUUUGUAGAAUGAACUACAAAUUUAUGAGGAGUCUUUCUUGUAACAGUAUAUUAACAUUUCUGAUUUGACAACUAAACUAAAAAUUUAACGAGGUAAUAAGAGAUUAAUUUGAUUUAAAGGAAUAUAAUCUCAAGACACCUAGAUUGUUAAAACCAUAUGAUUUGUUUCUGUUGGACUUCACACAUUUAUUUAUUUAUUUUUAAUAAUUCGGUUGGACUUCACACAUGCUCCCCAUAAUGGACAAAAUAAUGAAGUGGAAAUGGAUAAAUCUUCAAUGGUUAUAUCAUUCUCCCUUAGUUGGAAAAAUUUGGCCUCGAGUUUUAAUUUGUUAAAGUAUUAGUACUGUUGAACUUGAAACUUGCACCCACACGACAAUCACCUUCCUUGGUCCUGACUUUUUCACGAUAAACCUUAUGCUCACCUUGCUCUUUGUGGUCCUCAUUGUCUUUUUAACGUAUUCCUUUGGCUAUUCUUGAAAUUGGACUAGUGGUGAAUGGUAAGGUUGAGUUUCUUCUUUAAGGAAGCACAUUGAUGCAUGAACCAAUGCUAGGACUAAGGCUGUUGUAGCAGCAAAUUGGCAGGGCAAAAUCUAUGAGAUUUUGGAAGGAGAAUGGGUGCAAUGCUUGCCAAUAGGGAUGAGGUGCAGCAGCUUACAACUUAUCCAACAUUUCUUGUACAGUAGACAUUCUAGUUUUGCUUCUAUUAAACACACCCUUUCACUCAGUUGUUGCAAAGUCUUCUAGGUCUCUUCAGAAUCUUAAAAUGC